rnacentral:rRNA from 1 species
UACGUAGGGUGCGAGCGUUGUCCGGAAUUACUGGGCGUAAAGAGCUCGUAGGUGGUUUGUCACGUCGUCUGUGAAAUUCCGGGGCUUAACCUCGGGCGUGCAGGCGAUACGGGCAAUACUUGAGUGCUGUAGGGGAGACUGGAAUUCCUGGUGUAGCGGUGGAAUGCGCAGAUAUCAGGAGGAACACCGAUGGCGAAGGCAGGUCUCUGGGCAGUUACUGACGCUGAGGAGCGAAAGCAUGGGUAGCGAACAGGAUUAGA